GUAAUAAUCAAUUGUGUGUGUAGCGAUAGCUGUGUGUGAAAUAGGGAAUGCGGUUGUGGAAUUAAUUUUGUGGUUUUAAUUUGGGAAUUGGUAACUCUGAUGUCUACUUCGUACACUUGACGGUGAUGGCUGGCAGAAGCAGAUCGGGACUGGUGGAAAGUGGUGAUGUGGGUCGUGCUCCACACACCGAGGACGGGACUUCCUCACAGACAAGCCGAUCAAGAUAUAUAGUUUGGAAGGCCGCCAGCCAGCGCCCACCAGCGGCCCCAGUGCCCCUUGUGCCUUCACUUGCGGCGUCCCCUCUCCCCUAUCCUCCUCAAAGUCCUUCAGCAUGUCAGCCCAAGUACUCGUGGUCGUGUAUCGGUGGGAUCCAGGAACAGCAGGUGCACCGAUCAGUGACCCCCGGUGCUGCCAGACCCCGCGACACUACUGUAAUGAUUCCCACGCUUUGUUUUCCCCGUGCCGCGAAAUACGAGACAACUUUUACUAACAAGGAAACUCUCCAGGUAAGAAUCCAGUAGCGACAACCGCGGCGUGAAUGAUUCUUCUUUGCGCUUUGUUUUUUUUUUUUUUUUUUUUCGUUCAGUCAUGUUGGGAUGAGAUGAUUAGGGGGUAUUUAUAUAGAGUGCUGAUAGUUGGUACAGGUAUAUGUGUUUUUUUUUUUUUUAUACAGGGACUCGUGUAAACGUACUGGUUCUUAAAUUCUUCUCCCUCGCUUUGUUUACGUUCAGUCAUGUCGCAAGUAGACGAUUAGUGGUAUCUGAGGGCAGGGUGUGUAGGUGAGCAUAGGCAUUAGGCAAGUGUGUUUUUAUAGAGGGACUGUCACGUGUAGGUCUACUGAUUCUUGUAACUUCACUUUUGACCUUACUAGGUGGUAUGUUCCUCUGCAACUUUACGUGACUGUCACUAAUUAAAAUAAAGAUAACAUUUCCCCGCAGUGACAAUACGCCACGUUUCCUCUCCCU